rnacentral:tRNA from 1 species
UGCCGGCAUGGUGAAAUGGCAUACACGGUAGACUCAAAAUCUGCUGCUUGCAAGAGCGUGUGGGUUCAAGUCCCACUGCCGGCAA